GCUGGGAUAGCUCAGUUGGCAGAGCAUGAGGCUCUUAAUCUCAUGGUUGUGGGUUCGAACCCCACAUUGGGCA